GCCUCAGCCUCCCUAGUGCUGGGAAUACAGAAUGGUACAGCAACCUAAGAAACGUUAGUGCACAAGAAGAUUCCAAAAACAGUGCAUUGACCUCUUGAAAUGUGUAUAACUACUUUUAGUUCCUCCUGAGGCUGUGGAAAUAAAAAUGAGGCUGAUGCCAGGCCUAGGCCAUUGUAUUCGAAAACUUGGAUGAGUUAUGAAAAGGAUU